UACGUAGGGUGCGAGCGUUAAUCGGAAUUACUGGGCGUAAAGCGUGCGCAGGCGGUUCGUUGUGUCGGCGGUGAAAGCCCCGGGCUUAACCUGGGAAUGGCCGUCGAAACUGGCGAACUGGAGUGUGGCAGAGGGGGGUGGAAUUCCGCGUGUAGCAGUGAAAUGCGUAGAGAUGCGGAGGAACACCGAUGGCGAAGGCAGCCCCCUGGGCUGACACUGACGCCUCAGGCACGAAAGCGUGGGGAGC
rnacentral:rRNA from 1 species